GACGAACGCUGGCGGCGUGCUUAACACAUGCAAGUCGAGCGGUAAGGCCCUUCGGGGUACACGAGCGGCGAACGGGUGAGUAACACGUGGGUGACCUGCCCUCCACUCUGGGAUAAGCCCGGGAAACUGGGUCUAAUACCGGAUAUGACCUCUGGAUGCAUGUCUGGUGGUGGAAAGCCUGGGUUGUAUGACUCUGGCGGUGGGGGAUGGGCCCGCGGUCUAUCAGCUUGUUGGGGGGUGAUGGCCUACCAAGGCGACGACGGAUAGCCGGCCUGAGAGGGUGAUCGGCCACACUGGGACUGAGACACGGCCCAGACUCCUACGGGAGGCAGCAGUGGGGAAUCUUGCGCAAUGGGCGGAAGCCUGACGCAG
rnacentral:rRNA from 1 species